UACGUAGGGUGCGAGCGUUAAUCGGAAUUACUGGGCGUAAAGAGCUCGUAGGUGGUUUGUCGCGUUGUUCGUGAAAUCUCACGGCUUAACUGUGAGCGUGCGGGCGAUACGGGCAGACUAGAGUACUGCAGGGGAGACUGGAAUUCCUGGUGUAGCGGUGGAAUGCGCAGAUAUCAGGAGGAACACCGGUGGCGAAGGCGGGUCUCUGGGCAGUAACUGACGCUGAGGAGCGAAAGCGUGGGGAUCAAACAGG
rnacentral:rRNA from 1 species